ACCCAUCAGUCAGUAUGUGUAGGCAUGUGCACAAAUAUUGUUCCAUGUUGCAGAAAUGCUGCCUCCUGCUAAUGCGUUCCGUAUCAGCUAGUGGUGCUAGCUGUUGAUGGCGUGCUGACAAAGCUAUUCCACAGUUCAUG